rnacentral:rRNA from 1 species
AGAAUCAACGCUGGCGGCGUGCCUAACACAUGCAAGUCGAACGAGAAAGUGGAGCAAUCCAUUAGUAAAGUGGCGCACGGGUGAGUAACACGUGACUAACCUACCUUUUAGUGGGGGAUAACCUAGGGAAACCUGGGCUAAUACCGCAUAAUACCUACGGGUCAAAGCAGCAAUGCGCUGAAAGAGGGGGUCGCGGUCGAUUAGUUAGUUGGCAGGGUAAUGGCCUACCAAGACUGUGAUCGAUAUCCGGCCUGAGAGGGCGCACGGACACACUGGAACUGAAACACGGUCCAGACUCCUACGGGAGGCAGCAGUGGGGAAUUUUGCGCAAUGGGGGAAACCCUGACGCAGCAACGCCGCGUGGAGGAUGAAGUCCCUUGGGACGUAAACUCCUUUCGAUCGGGACGAUAAUGACGGUACCGGAAGAAGAGCCCCGGCUAACUUCGUGCCAGCAGCCGC